rnacentral:rRNA from 1 species
AUUGAACGCUGGCGGCAUGCCUUACACAUGCAAGUCGAACGGCAGCACGGGAGCAAUCCUGGUGGCGAGUGGCGAACGGGUGAGUAAUGUAUCGGAACGUGCCCAAUCGUGGGGGAUAACGUAGCGAAAGUUACGCUAAUACCGCAUACGAUCUACGGAUGAAAGCAGGGGAUCGCAAGACCUUGCGCGAUUGGAGCGGCUGAUAUCAGAUUAGGUAGUUGGUGGGGUAAAAGCUUACCAAGCCUACGAUCUGUAGCUGGUCUGAGAGGACGACCAGCCACACUGGGACUGGGACACGGCCCAGACUCCUACGGGAGGCAGCAGUGGGGAAUUUUGGACAAUGGGCGCAAGCCUGAUCCAGCCAUGCCGCGUGCAGGAUGAAGGCCUUCGGGUUGUAAACUGCUUUUGUACGGAACGAAACGGCCUUUUCUAAUACAGAGGGCUAAUGACGGUACCGUAAGAAUAAGCACCGGCUAACUACGUGCCAGCCGCCGCCGUAA